rnacentral:rRNA from 1 species
GUGCCAGCAGCCGCGGUAAUACGUAGGGUGCAAGCGUUAAUCGGAAUUACUGGGCGUAAAGCGUGCGCAGGCGGUGAUGUAAGACAGUUGUGAAAUCCCCGGGCUCAACCUGGGAACUGCAUCUGUGACUGCAUCGCUGGAGUACGGCAGAGGGGGAUGGAAUUCCGCGUGUAGCAGUGAAAUGCGUAGAUAUGCGGAGGACACCGAUGGCGAAGGCAUCCCCUGGGCCUGUACUGACGCUCAUGCAUGAAAGCGUGGGGAGCAA